rnacentral:misc_RNA from 1 species
GGACUACUGGGGUAUCUAAUCCUGUUUGCUACCCACACUUUCGAGCCUCAACGUCAGUUACAGUCCAGAAAGCCGCCUUCGCCACUGGUGUUCUUCCAUAUAUCUACGCAUUUCACCGCUACACAUGGAGUUCCACUUUCCUCUACUGCACUCAAGUCAUCCAGUUUCCAAAGCAAUUCCUCAGUUGAGCUGAGGGCUUUCACUUCAGACUUAAAUAACCGUCUGCGCUCGCUUUACGCCCAAUAAAUCCGGAUAACGCUUGGAACAUACGUAUUACCGCGGCUGCUGGCAC